GGAGAGAUGUCCGAGUGGUUGAAGGAGCUAGUCUUGAAAACUAGUGAUGCCGUGAGGCACCGGGGGUUCGAAUCCCUCUCUCUCCGCCA
rnacentral:tRNA from 1 species